GCAAGUCGAGCGCACCUUCGGGUGAGCGGCGGACGGGUUAGUAACGCGUGGGAACAUACCCUUCUCUACGGAAUAGCCUCGGGAAACUGAGAGUAAUACCGUAUACGCCCUUCGGGGGAAAGAUUUAUCGGAGAUGGAUUGGCCCGCGUUAGAUUAGAUAGUUGGUGAGGUAACGGCUCACCAAGUCUACGAUCUAUAGCUGGUUUUAGAGGAUGAUC
rnacentral:rRNA from 1 species